GAAAUGCGAUAAUUAAUGUGAAUUGCAGAAUUCAGUGAAUCAUCGAAUCUUUGAACGCACCUUGCGCUCCUUGGUAUUCCUUGGAGCAUGCCUGUUUGAGUAUCAUGAAAUCUUCAAAGUAAAUCUUUUGUUAACUCAAUUGGUUUCUACUUUGGUAUUGGAGGUCUUUGCAGCUUCACACCUGCUCCUCUUUGUUCAUUAGCUGGAUCUCAGUGUUAUGCUUGGUUCCACUCGGCGUGAUAAGUUAUCUAUCGCUGAGGACACUGUAAAAGGUGGCCAAGGUAAAUGCAGAUGAACCGCUUCUAAUAGUCCAUUGACUUGGACAAUACUUUUAUGAUCUGAUCUCAAAUCAGGUAGGACUACCCGCUGAACUUAAGC
rnacentral:misc_RNA from 1 species